rnacentral:misc_RNA from 1 species
GAUGAAGAACGCAGCGAAAUGCGAUAAGUAGUGUGAAUUGCAGAAUUCAGUGAAUCAUCGAAUCUUUGAACGCACAUUGCGCCCCUUGGUAUCCCGAGGGGCAUGCCUGUUCGAGCGUCAUUUCACCACUCAAGCCUGGCUUGGUGUUGGGCGACGUCCUCUUUGGGGACGCGCCUCGAAACGCUCGGCGGUGUGGCACCGGCUUUAAGCGUAGCAGAAUCUUUCGCUUUGGAAGUCGGGGCCCCGUCUGCCGGAAGACCUGCUCGCAAGGUUGACCUCGGAUCAGGCAGGGAUACCCGCUGAACUUAAGCAUAUCAAUAAGCGGAGGA